CCUCAGCAGCACCAGUGCACUGACUGUCACUCUGUGUCCUCUUAGGUCCUGCUAAGGUCUUACAAGACCUCAUCAUAGAAGACAUUGAGGAUGAUGAGCUGUUCCCUGAUGUGGACACCGUGACAGCCCCAAGUGACCUCCCUCCUCCUGAGGAUUGCAGGAGCAU
rnacentral:lncRNA from 13 species